rnacentral:rRNA from 1 species
AACGAACGCUGGCGGCAUGCCUAACACAUGCAAGUCGAACGAGACCUUCGGGUCUAGUGGCGCACGGGUGCGUAACGCGUGGGAAUCUGCCCUUGGGUUCGGAAUAACAGUUAGAAAUGACUGCUAAUACCGGAUGAUGACUUCGGUCCAAAGAUUUAUCGCCCAGGGAUGAGCCCGCGUAGGAUUAGCUUGUUGGUGAGGUAAAGGCUCACCAAGGCGACGAUCCUUAGCUGGUCUGAGAGGAUGAUCAGCCACAUUGGGACUGAGACACGGCCCAAACUCCUACGGGAGGCAGCAGUGGGGAAUAUUGGACAAUGGGCGCAAGCCUGAUCCAGCCAUGCCGCGUGAGUGAUGAAGGCCCUAGGGUUGUAAAGCUCUUUCACCGGUGAAGAUAAUGACGGUAACCGGAGAAGAAGCCCCGGCUAACUUCGUGCCAGCCGCCGCCGUAAGAC